UGCAGCACCUGCCUUUAGGUCUACUUAAGCCUCAGCUGUUGGCCACAUCUUCAGCUGCGGUAGGAGCCAUGGGAGGUGUUUGGAUUCUGAUCUUUUGCGCAGUGACUUUUUGGCGUAAAGUCUCUUGCUUGCCAAUCGACCAAACUGGAGGCAUAAACUAUGAAGAGAAGACUAGUGACUUCUUCUCAAAAGAGGAAAUGUCACUGAAGAAAGCGGCUUCACUCCAGUUAUUGGCUUCCAGGUUGACAAAAACUUCAGAAGAAGUCAAAUUAGAUACCGAUGAUGUGUCAAGUGACGCCGCCCACAAUGUGUCAAGUGACGCCGC